GUGCUCACUUCAGCAGUACUUACACUAAAAUUGAAAUGAUACAGAGAAGAUUAACAUGGUUCCUGCACAAAGAUGAUACGUAAAUUCGUGAAGCAUUCCACAUUUUA
rnacentral:snRNA from 1 species